AGAGUUUGAUCCUGGCUCAGAUUGAACGCUGGCGGAAUGCUUUACACAUGCAAGUCGAACGGCAGCACGGAGAGCUUGCUCUCUGGUGGCGAGUGGCGAACGGGUGAGUAAUAUAUCGGAACGUGCCCAGUCGUGGGGGAUAACGUAGCGAAAGUUACGCUAAUACCGCAUACGAUCUAAGGAUGAAAGCGGGGGAUCGCAAGACCUCGCGCGAUUGGAGCGGCCGAUAUCAGAUUAGGUAGUUGGUGGGGUAAAGGCUCACCAAGCCAACGAUCUGUAGCUGGUCUGAGAGGACGACCAGCCACACUGGGACUGAGACACGGCCCAGACUCCUACGGGAGGCAGCAGUGGGGAAUUUUGGACAAUGGGCGCAAGCCUGAUCCAGCCAUUCCGCGUGCAGGACGAAGGCCUUCGGGUUGUAAACUGCUUUUGUACGGAACGAAAAAGCCUUGGCUAAUACCCAGGGUCCAUGACGGUACCGUAAGAAUAAGCACCGGCUAACUACGUGCCAGCAGCCGCGGUAAUACGUAGGGUGCAAGCGUUAAUCGGAAUUACUGGGCGUAAAGCGUGCGCAGGCGGUUAUAUAAGACAAAUGUGAAAUCCCCGGGCUCAACCUGGGAACUGCAUAUGUGACUGUAUAGCUAAAGUGCGGCAGAGGGGGAUGGAAUUCCGCGUGUAGCAGUGAAAUGCGUAGAUAUGCGGAGGAACACCGAUGGCGAAGGCAAUCCCCUGGGCCUGCACUGACGCUCAUGCACGAAAGCGUGGGGAGCAAACAGGAUUAGAUACCCUGGUAGUCCACGCCCUAAACGAUGUCAACUGGUUGUUGGGUCUUCACUGACUCAGUAACGAAGCUAACGCGUGAAGUUGACCGCCUGGGGAGUACGGCCGCAAGGU
rnacentral:rRNA from 1 species